UGGCAGUGACAGAUGUUGAUAAGCCUUCAUACUUCUUUGUCAUUUUACGUCUGCUUAUUUAUACCAUGUGGGCUUUUCUCUAGAUUGGUCAUAACAUGUUCUAGUAGAGGAACCUAGUUCAAAUGAUGCUGGUUCUUCAGUUCUCAUUUUUGGUCCCUUAGUUAUUGGACCUUAUCAUAAAAGCUACCUUCUCCUAUGGUCCAUUUGCUUUGUAUUAUUUCCGGUCAGAGGAGGAAAUGGAGAUCCUUCUACUAGAAACUGCAAAUCUUACUGUAGAUUUCACUGGCGCAAAGCUGCAAAAUAUAUUUUAGUUACUUCCUAAUGAAUUGUUUCUAUUUUCCCAUUAGGAGAUUUUUUUAAAACCAUCUUGCAACUGAUUGGUAGGAAUGAACCUGGAAUUUUAACUGCUAGAAAGGAUUUAGACUACAUUGGAUGAGAAGAACCGUUGGAAGCCUUGAAGAGGCAAAAGGGUACGUUUGAAACCGGUCAAGAAGAUAGUACUGAAAUUCUGGAGGAGUUAAAAGCUGAGGUUGGCAUACAGGGAAGCAGCUGUGGCUGUUCUUGCAUGCUACAAUCCAAAUCCUCACCGUCCUUUCACUGAGACUAAUAUUCGUUCCAUUCGCAGCAAGCCAAAUAUGUGUUAUGUUGAGACUACUGGAAGGUUUUUUUGAGGAAGUCAGAUUAUGUAGAAUCUAUAUUCCGUGCAUGUGCCCAGUUUUUCAGCGGUAGUGGGUCCGAAUGGAAGUGGUAAAAGCAACGUCAUAGAUGCAAUGCUCUUUGUAUUUGGGAAACGAGCUAAGCAGCUGGAGGUAACCAAAAUUUACAUCAUCUUCAUUUUUGGUUAUACACCGGUUUGGGUAUAUGUUUUAGGUUAUGAUAUAUAUAUAUAUAUAUAUAUAUAUAUAUAUAUAUAUAUAUAUAUAUAAUUCUUUAAGUGGAACUUUUGAGAGGGUGAUAGGACCUGCCAAGGCUGGCGAUGGAUCUGGCAAAAAGGAUGUGGUCGCAGUGCAGCCUGGCCCUAGCAACUAGAUUGCUCAUCAGGGUUCUUUUACUCAAGGAAUGAGCUAUAUGCAUUCUCAGAUAAAG